UUUUAGUUAAGUUAAUUUAAACUAUUGAUUUGUGGGAUCAAAAAUAUAUAGAAUAAUACUAAAAA
rnacentral:tRNA from 1 species